GCCGCCGGGGUUAGGGGUCGGAGGUACUGAGUGAGGCUCCGGCGGCUGCAGCGGGCGGGGGGAGCCUCGGGAGCCGCCAUGGGGGAGGCCGAGAAGUUCUAUUACGUCUAUAGCUGCGACCUGGACAUCAACGUGCAGCUGAAGAUAGGAAGUCUGGAAGGGAAAAGAGAACAGAAGAGUUACAAAGCUGUUUUGGAAGACCCUAUGCUGAAGUUCUCAGGAUUAUACCAGGAGACUUGUUCUGACUUGUAUGUAACUUGCCAAGUGUUUGCAGAAGGGAAACCUCUUGCUCUUCCAGUUAGGACUUCCUACAAAGCUUUUAGCACUAGAUGGAACUGGAAUGAAUGGCUAAAAUUGCCUGUGAAGUAUCCUGACUUGCCCCGUAAUGCACAAGUGGCUCUGACAAUAUGGGAUGUAUAUGGGCCAGGUAAAGCAGUUCCGGUAGGGGGAACAACAGUCUCACUCUUUGGAAAAUAUGGUAUGUUUCGUCAAGGAAUGCAUGACUUGAAAGUCUGGCCCAAUGUAGAAGCUGAUGGCUCAGAGCCCACCAAAACUCCUGGGAGGACCAGUAGCACUCUCUCUGAAGAUCAGAUGAGCCGAUUGGCUAAGCUCACCAAGUCUCAUCGACAAGGUCACAUGGUGAAAGUAGACUGGCUGGACAGACUGACCUUUAGAGAAAUAGAAAUGAUCAAUGAGAGUGAAAAACGGAGUUCUAAUUUUAUGUACUUGAUGAUUGAGUUUCGGUGUGUCAAGUGUGAUGAUAAAGAAUAUGGAAUAGUUUACUAUGAAAAGGAUGGUGAUGAGUCCUCUCCAAUUUUAACAAGCUCUGAGAUUGUUAAGGUUCCAGAUCCCCAGAUGUCGAUGGAGAAUUUAGUAGAGAGCAAACAUCACAAGCUUGCUCGAAGUUUAAGAAGUGGGCCCUCUGAUCAUGAUCUCAAGCCUAAUGCAGCUACUCGAGAUCAGCUUAAUAUUAUAGUGAGUUAUCCACCAACAAAGCAACUGACCUAUGAGGAACAGGAUCUAGUUUGGAAGUUCAGAUACUAUCUUACUAAUCAAGAAAAGGCUUUGACCAAGUUCUUGAAAUGUGUCAACUGGGACCUGCCCCAGGAGGCAAAACAGGCACUGGAGCUACUGGGUAAAUGGAAGCCAAUGGAUGUAGAAGAUUCUCUGGAACUGUUAUCAUCUCAUUUCACCAACCCAACAGUACGGCGAUAUGCUGUUGCCAGGUUGCAACAGGCAGAUGAUGAGGAUUUGUUGAUGUACCUGUUGCAGUUGGUCCAGGCCUUGAAAUAUGAAAAUUUUGAUGACAUAAAGAAUGGGUUAGAGCCAAAUAAGAGGGACAGUCAGGGUUCAAUGUCUGAGAGUAUGGCAACAUCAGGAAUGAAUGCUGCAGAAAUAGACAGCUCCCAGAUCAUAGCAAGUCCCCUUCCUCCUGUAUCCUCCCCACCUCCUGCUUCUAAAACAAAGGAUUCUGCAGAGAGUGAAAACCUUGAACAAGACCUUUGCACUUUCUUGAUAUCCCGAGCCUGCAAGAAUUCCACCCUGGCUAACUACUUAUAUUGGUAUGUAAUAGUGGAAUGUGAAGACCAAGACACUCAGCAGAGGGAUCCAAAAACUCAUGAAAUGUACCUAAAUGUGAUGAGACGGUUUAGUCAGGCUCUAUUAAAGGGUGAUAAAUCUGUCAGGGUUAUGCGUUCUUUGCUGGCAGCGCAGCAGACAUUUGUAGAUCGACUGGUUCAUCUAAUGAAGGCAGUGCAGCGUGAAAGUGGGAAUCGUAAAAAAAAGAAUGAGAGGCUACAGGCAUUACUUGCAGACAAUGAGAAGAUGAAUUUAUCAGAUGUGGAACUUAUUCCACUUCCUUUAGAGCCUCAGGUGAAAAUCAGAGGAAUAAUCCCAGAGACAGCUACACUGUUUAAGAGUGCCCUAAUGCCUGCCCAGUUAUUCUUCAAGACAGAAGAUGGAGGCAAAUAUCCUGUAAUAUUUAAACAUGGUGAUGAUUUACGUCAAGAUCAACUUAUUCUUCAAAUUAUUUCACUCAUGGACAAGCUGUUACGUAAGGAGAAUCUGGAUUUGAAGCUAACACCAUAUAAGGUGCUGGCUACUAGUACAAAGCAUGGUUUCAUGCAGUUUAUUCAGUCAGUCCCUGUUGCUGAAGUUCUUGCUACCGAAGAAAGUAUACAGAACUUCUUCAGAAAACAUGCGCCAAGCGAGACUGGUCCUAAUGGGAUAAGUGCAGAGGUCAUGGACACUUAUGUUAAAAGUUGUGCUGGUUAUUGUGUUAUUACCUAUAUCCUUGGAGUUGGAGACCGACAUCUGGAUAAUCUCUUGCUAACAAAAACAGGUAAACUGUUUCACAUCGAUUUUGGUUACAUUCUGGGUCGUGACCCUAAGCCUCUGCCUCCCCCAAUGAAGCUAAAUAAGGAAAUGGUGGAAGGUAUGGGAGGCACUCAGAGUGAGCAGUACCAGGAGUUCCGCAAACAGUGUUACACAGCCUUUCUACAUCUCCGCAGGUAUUCCAACUUGAUCUUGAACUUGUUUUCCCUCAUGGUGGAUGCAAACAUUCCAGAUAUUGCUCUUGAACCUGACAAGACUGUGAAAAAGGUGCAGGACAAGUUCCGUUUGGACCUCUCUGAUGAAGAAGCUGUACAUUACAUGCAGAGUCUAAUUGAUGAAAGUGUCCACGCUCUCUUUGCAGCUGUAGUAGAACAAAUACACAAGUUUGCUCAGGAGCAAGUGAGCAACUAAACUCUUGAUUUGGAGAGUGCUGUUCAGUCCUGCAAGUAGUCUGUUUUGGCAGGCUCUGCAUGGGUGGGUCCUUAGGGGUCAAGUCUACCUGUUGGACAGAGCUCUGUGCUGUCUCUGAAUCCUGCAAGAGGAGGACCUGCCACUCCUGAGCAUGAUAUCGCCAAGAAGAGAAAUUUUAGCAAUAUUGGAGAAAAUAAACCCAUCAACGGCUUUUGCUGGAAAUGGAAAUAUCAUCUAGUGCUCAACAAGGAGACUUUCUUGAGCCAUCUAUGGACUUUUCAAGACAGCACCUGAAGGCGAGAACUGCUCAUUUGAUAGCACAGAGUGCGUGGAGGACAGGGGUCUCUGAGUUACCACUAUUAUAAGGUUAAAAAUGACAAUUAUUUAGAAAACAUGUAUUUAUUUCCCACUUUGGGCCUAGAUGUUCCUGCAUAUAUUACUUGUAAGAAACUUAAGCCAUGUAGGUAAAAUAGGCAACUUCCUCCAAUGUCAUGGAUGAUUGGAAGAGGCUGCAGAAGAGAGAUCCAGCACUUGCUGGUGAAUUUAUUUUUGUGUCUUGGUUACUAUAUUUUGGGACCUAGAAACUGAAGUCCAUUGCUGCACUUAACUUGGACAUUGAUACAUGCAGUGUGCAGCCUAUAAUGGUAUAUAUUGUGAUUUCUCAUUAGCCUAAGAAACAGGAUAAUUGAACACCCCACCCCCAAACAAACACACACAACAGUUUUCACCUGGAAUUAAAGUUUUUAAUGGAGUCAUCUAACCGCUUCCCAAUUUGGAAAGAAGUUCUCAUAUGGAAAGGACAAUCAUUCUUCUUUACUUUAUAAAACGAUAUUUUUAAUGGCCGAUAAGUUAGCCAAAUACAGGCACAGAAUUAGAAAUAAUCAGUAUGUAGCCCAUGGCAGCGAGCCUGCCAGCCCAGCUCGAUGGACUCAUGCUAGUGCUGAUUUGUGCUAGUACUCUAAAAAUAGCUGUGUAGACAGCUCUUUGAAGUUGCGACUUCAGCUGGAGCUCAGGCUCCACAGCCUAGGGAGAAAGGGGUAGGCUUCAAACCCCAAGCCACAGUUCUGAAGCGCUGUCCACACCGCUAUUUUUAGAGAGCUAGCCUGAAUCUGUCAACCUAAAGACUAGCCAGAAGGCACCGUGAUAGGUUUAGUAUAAGUUCAUAGCAAAGUCUCACUUUAACUAUGAACAUCAAUGUACAGUGACCACAUGUAAUAUUUUCCUUGACUCUAAUAAAUUCUUCCUUGAUGCA